AUUGCAAAUGGCGGCAGGAGAGGAUCGGCUGCAUAGGUGACCGUAGGACUGUAUCGAUUGCGAGGAGGUUGUUUCCUGUCUCAACGGCCACACAUACGCG